rnacentral:misc_RNA from 1 species
AACGCACGAGACCUGCGGACCUGCGGAAGGAUCAUUAUCGAGUGUGACCCUCCUGUAAAAAAGGGGGUACCUCCCGUCCUUUUGCUAGGCCCUCCCCCUCCAAAAAUUUUUUUGACAGGGGGAAGCUUUUUCAAACCUUCUGCUUCGGUGGGUUUUAAACCCCGCCGGAACAACCUCAAAAAUUCUUUAUAAUUGUUCUGUCCGAGAAAAAUUUUAUUAAAAUGAAAAAACUUUUAACAA